AACUUUCAACAAUGGAUCUCUUGGCUCUCGCAUCGAUGAAGAACGCAGCGAAAUGCGAUACGUAAUGUGAAUUGCAGAAUUCCGUGAAUCAUUGAAUCUUUGAACGCACCUUGCGCCCCUUGGUAUUCCGAGGGGCAUGCCUGUUUGAGUGUCAUUG
rnacentral:rRNA from 1 species